UAGCCUACGGGACGCAGCAGUGAGGAAUAUUGGUCAAUGGCCGAGAGGCUGAACCAGCCAAGUCGCGUGAGGGAUGACGGCCCUACGGGUUGUAAACCUCUUUUGUCGGGGAGCAAGACCCGCCUCGUGCAGGCGGAGCGAGAGUACCCGAAGAAAAAGCAUCGGCUAACUCCGUGCCAGCAGCCGCGGUAAUACGUAGGUGGCAAGCGUUAUCCGGAAUUAUUGGGCGUAAAGAGGGAGCAGGCGGCAGCAAAGGUCUGUGGUGAAAGACUGAAGCUUAACUUCAGUAAGCCAUAGAAACCGGG
rnacentral:rRNA from 1 species